rnacentral:lncRNA from 1 species
CUCCUGCCUGGGCCCUGCAGGCUGUUCAGUUUGCAGGCCUUAGUGUAGACACAGCUUGAAUGUCUUCCCAGAGCCAGGGAUCCUGCAAUAAGAGGGUCUGGCACACCUAGGAGGCAGGCAUGUGCUCUCUGUGAAGACAACCAGCCCUCAUCCAGGUUCUUGUUCUUUCUCUCUCUCUCUCCCUUUCUCAUUAUUGGAACUAAACCUAGACUUGAUCAGCAUCUUCACAGGUCACGUGAGUUGACAAAAUAUGAGAAAGCCUUUGGGAUGAGAAAACGUAUUCACUCCACAAUCAUUUAUUGAAUUUUCACUUUAUGCCCAGGCACUGAUCUGGAGAUACAUCAAUGCACCAAACAAACCAAAAUUUUGCCCUUAUGGGGCUGGUACUCUAGCAUCAUCCAUGCUUUACUAUGAAUGAAUUGUAGAUGUGAUGGCUGGAGUUCAAGCAGCCAUCUUGUGCCAUAAGAUGAAAACUACACACUGAGGAUGGUGGAGCAUCAAGAGAGAAGGAGCCUGAGUCUGUGAGGACUUCUUAAAGCUGCUCUGCCAGCCCUGGGCAUUCAAAUUUUUUAUAUAUGUAAAAGAAAAAUAAAUUCCUAUUUUGGUUAAACCCUUGUUACUUGGAUUUUCUGUCAGUUGCAAAUACCAUAUUCCUAAACCCUAGUUGAUAUAGGUAGUAGGUAUAUUCCAAAUGGAGUACUUGCUUCCCACCCUCACUCCUUGCCAUGCAGUAGGCACACUUCCCUUAGCCCCCUCCACUGAUCUUAAAUAUGGUACAGGAUGAAGUACAUUUACCUCACGACGACAACAAAGAAUACUGUGAAACACAAAUGUUAAAUAUACACGCCUGUUAUAUCCAGUCACUGAAUAUUCCUAGACGGGCUCAGACUUGAUCUUCACCUCACCCACACCUGCUGAAGCUCUAUUUUUACCCUGACCUACAGGGCAAGCUCUCAGGCUGAACUGGCCUCUAUUUCUGCAGGGAGACUUUGCCGAUUUCCUGGAACUCUAUGGAAGGCUCCAACUUUGGUCUUUUUCAAGGCCAUACAGUUUGAAUCUUGACUCCACCACUUUUCCGCUCUUUGACCCCAGGCAAUUUAUCGAAUCCCUCAGUAUCUCAAUUUUCUUACGUAUAAAAUGAGAAUAAUCUCGUAGUCGUUGUAAGGAUUGAAGAAGCAAUACACACAAAGCUCUUGGUGCCUAAUGAAUAAAAACUCCCCAAAG